UACGUAGGGGCAAGCGUUGUCCGGAUUUAUUGGGCGUAAAGAGCGUGUAGGCGGUUUGGUAGGUCCGCUGUGAAAACUCGAGGCUCAACCUCGAGACGCCGGUGGAAACCAUCAGGCUAGAGUCCGGAAGAGGAGAGUGGAAUUCCUGGUGUAGCGGUGAAAUGCGCAGAUAUCAGGAAGAACACCCGUGGCGAAGGCGGCUCUCUGGAACGCAACUGACGCUGAGACGCGAAAGCGUGGGGAGCAAACAGG
rnacentral:rRNA from 1 species